rnacentral:lncRNA from 1 species
AAAAAAGAAUGGUAAAGUGGGGGCUCAGUGAUGGCCACGUGAACCCUAAGUGGUCUAGGAGCAUGUCAUGCUUAAAGGCUGUGGGCCGGAUACUUUGGUUCAGAGGGCUGGGUACUCACCGUCCAGUGACAGCCAGUCAAGUUGAGUACUAGGCAGAGACAGGAAUCGGCGGGCUCGAUACUCAAAGAGCACAGAAGCAGAAAGGGGCCCCUCCCGCCCUGCCACCUGCAAAGACACCAGCCCUACCUCAUGGGCUGGAGAGGGUAGGAUCAGCGAGAAGGGCUCUCUUUCCCUGGCUCCUUCUCUGGCUAGCUGUGUCAGCCACAGACAAUUAUUCCAUAGUUAUUUCCCCUACUGCCCUGCUGUGGGCCAAGAGGCCCCUGGCUUCAGUGGCCUUGGCACUAACUGGGAAGGGAGUCCAUUUGUUUGAGAACUUAAUACGUACUAUGGGCCAGAGAUCCCUUGGAUUCUAGACCCUGUAGUUGAAGAUAUUUGUUAUAAGACCAGGUGCUGAAACUUUUUCUCCCAGUCCCCAGAUUCUCUGGUCUCAUCCCCUUUCCUUACACACAUGCUGGAUGCUGCUGUAGAGACUGGGGGAGAACACACUCGUAGACAGCAAAGCUGCCAACCUGUCACUUUGGUGGUCCUUGAGGUCCCCUAGUAAGGCUGAUUUUUAGUGACAAGAAUGUUCUAUAUCGUCACUAUCCAAUAGGGUAACACGAGCCAUGUGUGGCUACUGAACACUUGAAACGUGGUCAGUGAGACUGGGGAAGUGAAUUUUCAGUAUUCUUUAACUUUAAUUAAUAGGCACAUGUGGCUAAUGGCUACCAUACUGGACAGCACAGUUCUAAAAGCCAAUGUCCUUCAGUCCCAAGACUGGUUAGAGGAAACCCACAUUUCUUCUUUCUCAUUCCCCCUGGAUUGGAGUUGGAGACUCUGGCUCUAAGCCAGAAAGCCUGGACAGACAUUAGAAAUCCCUUUGGUCAAUGCCUAACCUUACAGGAGGGGAGGCCAAGGACCUCAGGAAGGAUCAGACUCAUCUGAGGUCACUGGUUAGCUAAGGAGUAGACUUCUUGGACCAGAACCUUGAUCUUCUGACACCUAAGUCUGGGCUCUUCUGCCUGCUGGGAGAGCUUGGGGCUCAACCUCAGGACUGGAUGAAGUCCUUGUGCUCUCAAAACAACCCAUUUGUUCCCAGUGCUUUCUGGAAGCCUGGAGUUCCUGAUCUGUCCUAACUGCCCACAUGUCAGUCCCUCCCCCUACGGUUCCCAAUCCUCAUACCGGGACAGUAGCAGCGUAAGACACCAGGCUGGACAAGUGAGGCUGGCACUGCGAUGUGAUCAAAGACACAGGAGUAAUGCUCGGCGGCUUCAGUCCAAGGACCUGUGAUGAGCACCUUGACCCCACCCUGCAGACAGAAGUCAGAGACCAUGUGACUGGAGUUGGGCAUUCAUCCCCUCAUUCAUUUAUUCAGACCCUUACAGGGUAUCUACUAUAUGGCAGGUCCUGUGCUAGAGUCUGGGGGUCCAGGGAUAGACAGGACCCAGUGGGGUGAGGUCAGUGAGUCUAUCUCUCCCCAACAUCCCUGCCAAGUGGUUGCCUGGUCUCUACCUGAAUCUGCCAGUAGCUGGGAAUUCAGGGCCUCCCCCAAAGCUACCACAGAGCUGUCACCAGAAGGAAGUUCUGUUCUUGGGCUAAUUCACCCCCACUGUACUUCCUCCUUUUCCUCUCAAAGGCAGCAUAAAACAGAACUUCUCCACUGCCGAAGACAGUCUUUCAGCUACUCAAAGUCUGCAAUCACAUCCCUGAUGUUUCUUUUCUUCUCCAGCCUGCACAGCCCCAAUUCCCUACCCCUGAAAACAGUCAGGAAGGGAAUGAGGUCCUAGGAGACUCCAGAAACCAUGCUAACACAUGGAAGGGAGAGGAACAGAAAAAAGGUUAAGUUGCUGAGGACUCUGGAAACAGGAAAGCAGCUUCACUCUACAUAAAAAAAGAGAUUGGCGGCUGGGCACGGUGGCUCACACCUGUAAUCCCAGCACUUUGGGAGGCCGAGGCAGGCAAUCACCUGAGGUCAGGAGUUUGAGACCAUCCUGGCCAACAUGGUGAAACCCCAUCUCUACUAAAAAUACAAAAGUUAGCCGGGCGUGGUGGCGGUCACCUGUAAUCCCAGCUACUCAGGAGGGUGAGGCAGGAGAAUCAUUUGAACCCGGGAGGUGGAGGUUGCAGUGAGCCAAGAUUGUGCCACUACACUCCAGCCUGGGCAACAAGAGCAAAACUGUCUCAAAAAAAAAAAAAAAAAAAAAAGAUUAGGUAGAGGACUAAGAAGCCUAAGAAGCCAUGAAAACUGAGGGAAACUAGGUCACGGACCACGGGGUAAGAGUUAACACAAUUUGUUUUGGGGAGUCAGAAGACAAAAAUAGGAGGGAGAAGGGAGGAGGUAAGCCUGAGUCUCACCUCUGGGUAGGACCACUCUGGGGAGAAGUCUGUGAUGGUGCUAAGAGCAGGAGACAGCUGGGGGGUCGGAGCAGGGAUGCUUGGAGCUUCGUCACUGAUGAGUUCUCCCAUAAGGUCUGGGAAUGAUGAAAGACUGAAGGGCUCCAGUUCACUGGCCCCAACAGGUCCUC